GGAAUUUUGGACAAUGGGCGCAAGCCUGAUCCAGCAAUGCCGCGUGAGUGAAGAAGGCCUUCGGGUUGUAAAGCUCUUUUGUCAGGGAAGAAACGGUAGAGGCUAAUAUCCUUUGCUAAUGACGGUACCUGAAGAAUAAGCACCGGCUAACUACGUGCCAGCAGCCGCGGUAAUACGUAGGGUGCAAGCGUUAAUCGGAAUUACUGGGCGUAAAGCGUGCGCAGGCGGUUUUGUAAGUCUGAUGUGAAAUCCCCGGGCUCAACCUGGGAAUUGCAUUGGAGACUGCAAGGCUAGAAUCUGGCAGAGGGGGGUAGAAUUCCACGUGUAGCAGUGAAAUGCGUAGAUAUGUGGAGGAACACCGAUGGCGAAGGCAGCCCCCUGGGUCAAGAUUGACGCUCAUGCACGAAAGCGUGGGGAGCAAACAGGAUUAGAUACCCCGG
rnacentral:rRNA from 1 species